GGCAGUAGGUAGAACCGCGCGCGGCGGAGGAGCUUAGUUUGGGGUAGGAGAAGUUAGACUCGUUUCGCUCUCUGGAACAUGUAAAUGCUCCUCUGCGUCAACAUCGUUCUACUCUCACCGCCAGUGCUGAAACAUAAGCCGUGGUAUUGACGAGGAAAGAGGAUUUUUAGAGAAGAGAGCCCGAGACCAGAAAUGCCUUUAUCUUCCUGUGGAAAGUCUUCCAGAGGUAGGCCAGAGAGAAAGUACUGAGAUGCAAGUUACAACCUGCAGCCCAGCAGCUUAGGGGCUUUCACACCAGGAGAAACUGGAGAGCUGCCCAGUCACCAUGCAGGGGGUGUGGGCUCAAGCUCCAACAGGAGCGACAGAAAGUCAGAAAGUCACAGUCUCUCUCUUCUCAACUAUUCAGAGGAAGGAGGAGAGAAAAAAGAGCUUCAUAAAUAAAGCACUUCCUUGGA